UGGUUAUCAAGGUAGAAAGGGCCUAGAAGGGUCCUGACUUGAAACAUCACCUUUCCUGUUCCUCUGAUGCUGCUUGACCAGAAAAACACACCAGAGACAUCACAACUCACUUGCAACUUUGUUAGUUAUCAGAUAAGCACUAUACCAAGAGGAACCUGUGUUCUAAAGGGGAUGCUUUUAAAGUUUGAAUUGCACUUCAGUCCUAUGUUCCUGAUCGAUGGGUAACCCCUGCAGAGGUGUGGAGGCAGAUUGGAGGGCCACCUGCAUCUGGCCACCAUGGCUAUCAACAUGUCCAGUCAGCAAGUGCCUAUCAAGUGUUGUCCAGACCAGUCCAGGAUAGAAAGCACUGCAGUUGUACCUGUGCCACCUGAUACACAGCAGUUCAAUUAAACUGGUUCACCAUCAGAUUCUUCAUGCCAAUUAGAGAUGAGGCUUGCCAACAAGUGUACAUGAGAAAAAAUAACUCAUCAGGCAUGUGCUCUAGAUGCAA